GUGACCCCAGGUGAGGGGAGAUUACCCGCUGAAUUUAAGCAUA
rnacentral:rRNA from 1 species